rnacentral:rRNA from 1 species
UGUUACUUCAGGUGUUAAGGAUAAUUGUUGGGGUUUGCUAGGCGACUAUGCUUAAGAAGUCAAAGUCGAAGUACUUGGCGGUCUGGGAUUCCCUUCCCGUGAGACUUGACGGUUAAUCCGAUGAUCCGCGUUUAAGUGUACUUGCUUUUGAGAAAGAUUUGUGAAGUUUGAUCAGUUGGUGUAUGGUCGUCGUAAGUUUAUAUUGUGAAGUUUUUAGAGGAAUAGGCGGGGACUUUUGUGUUUCUGAAAGGUAGUUGGUGGGUUUAAGGAAACUUAAAAGAGUAAGUCAGAUCGUUAUGCCGCCCAUGGGUAAGGCUUAGUUGAGUCACACUAAAAAGAUAGGUAAGGACGGAUCUGGAACAGGAAGAAGUUGGGUUGAAGGAGGAAUGGGAAGUAAAAUGAAAUUAAAAUGUUUUUUUGAAUUGUGAAUUUUCAGGUGUACAAAUC